rnacentral:rRNA from 1 species
UUGACGGAGAGUUUGAUCCUGGCUCAGGACGAACGCUGGCGGCGUGCUUAAUACAUGCAAGUCGAACGAUCCCGGGACUUCGGUCCCAAUGGGAGAGUGGCGAACGGGUGCGUAACACGUGAGAAACCUAUCCCGGAGAUGGGAAUAGCCCAGGGAAACCUGGAUUAAUGCCCAAUACCCUGAGAGCGCCGCAUGGCGCAUUCAGGAAAGGUUCCGGCGCUUUGGGAGGGUCUCGCGGCCUAUCAGCUUGUUGGUGAGGUAAAGGCUCACCAAGGCAUCGACGGGUAGCUGGUCUGAGAGGACGAUCAGCCACACUG